rnacentral:rRNA from 1 species
AACGAACGCUGGCGGCAUGCCUAACACAUGCAAGUCGAACGAGACCUUCGGGUCUAGUGGCGCACGGGUGCGUAACGCGUGGGAACCUGCCCUUAGGUUCGGAAUAACUCCCCGAAAGGGGUGCUAAUACCGGAUAAUGUCUUCGGACCAAAGAUUUAUCGCCUUUGGAUGGGCCCGCGUUGGAUUAGCUAGUUGGUAGGGUAAAAGCCUACCAAGGCGACGAUCCAUAGCUGGUCUGAGAGGAUGAUCAGCCACACUGGGACUGAGACACGGCCCAGACCCCUACGGGAGGCAGCAGUGGGGAAUAUUGGAAAAGGGGCGAAAGCCUGAUCCAGAAAUGCCGGGGGAGUGAUGAAGGCCUUAGGGUUGUAAAGCUCUUUUACCCGGGAUGAUAAUGACAGUACCGGGAAAAAAAGCCCCGGCUAACUCCGU